rnacentral:rRNA from 1 species
AUUGAACGCUGGCGGCAGGCCUAACACAUGCAGGUCGAGCGGAUGAAGGGAGCUUGCUCCUGGAUUCAGCGGCGGACGGGUGAGUAAUGCCUAGGAAUCUGCCUGGUAGUGGGGGAUAACGUCCGGAAACGGGCGCUAAUACCGCAUACGGCCUGAGGGAGAAAGUGGGGGAUCUUCGGAACUCACGCUAUCAGAUGAGCCUAGGGCGGAUUAGCUAGUUGGUGGGGUAAAGGCCUACCAAGGCGGGGGUCCGGGACUGGUCUGAGAGGGUGAUGAGGCAGACCGGAACUGAGAGACGGCCCAGAGUCCUCCGGGAGGCAGCAGUGGGGACUAUUGGACGAUGGGGGAAAGACUAAUGCAGAAAUGCCGCGUGUGUGAAGCAGGUCUUCGGAUUGUAAAACACAUUAAGUUGGGAGGAAGAGCAGUAAGUUAAUACCUUGAUGAUUUGACGUUACCAACAGAAUAAGCAACGGCUAACUACGUG